UUUCCCCGACCUGAAUUUGUCUUCUAGGAUGAAGUAAAACAAUCAGGGAAUGGCUCCUCACAUACUUAAAUACUUGUCUUGUACCACUUUGCUUUCUCAUCUCCAUGCUACAUAUAUCAGGUUGCUUCAAUAGAUACUUAUAAAAUUAUAAAAUUGACAUCUUUCACUAACCUUGGUGUAUUUCUCUGGAUGAACUGCACAUCAUUAAUCAUCUUUCCUAUGAAUUGCCUUCCAGGAUUCAAAAGAAGAGAGUGAGCUCAUCACCUCCUUAUUUCUGGACACUGUGCAUCAUAUUUCAGCUUGGUAUAAUGGAUAGAGCACUGUGCUUGGAAUUAAAUACUUCAGAUCCUUACUAGCUGUGUGAUCCAGAGCUAAUCACUUAACCUCUGGGUUUCAUUUUCCUCAGUUGUGAAAUGAAGAGAUUGAAUUUGAUCAUUGUUUUCCUCUUCCAUCUCUAAGGCAAUGAUCCUAUGGGCAGUUCUAUCAAAAAAGAAGCUAGGUGAUUUUGGACCCCAUGAACCCGAGUGAACCGAAGUCGAGGGGAUGUGCUAUAAAGAAUGAUUAGGAUUUGGACAGGGAGAAAGGAAAGAGUUAAUCAAGCAUGAGGCAAUAAGAGCAGUAGCAAGUAAUGAUGAUAAUGAUGAUGACGAUGAUGAUGAUGAUGAUGAUGAUGAUACAGCGGAGUGUUAUAGGAGGAACAGUUCUAAAUUUUGAGUCAAAGGAUUCAUUAUUGAAGAUUGGAUAUACUUCUUCAUUACUGGGGACUAACAGAAGAAGGAGGAAGGACUGAAAAAGAGACCAACAAAGACAGUACAAAAGGAGAGAUGACCCACUACAGAAACACUUUCUUGAUCCCCAUACUUGCUUUUGCAGAAUUUCUUCCUUCUCCACCUCUACCAAAAAGCCUCUGUUUAUGCCCUAAAUAUGUUUGUGUAUAAUAAAUAGGGUUUGAGAACAUGUACA
rnacentral:lncRNA from 1 species